GAUGAACGCUAGCUACAGGCUUAACACAUGCAAGUCGCGGGACCGGCGCACGGGUGAGUCACGCGUAUCCAACCUGCCCUUCACCACGGGAUAACCCGGCGAAAGUCGGACUAAUACCGUAUGGUGAAGGAUGGGGAUGCGUCCGAUUAGCUUGACGGCGGGGUAACGGCCCACCGUGGCUACGAUCGGUAGGGGUUCUGAGAGGAAGGUCCCCCACACGGGAACUGAGACACGGUCCAGACUCCUACGGGAGGCAGCAGUGAGGAAUAUUGGUCAAUGGGCGUAAGCCUGAACCAGCCAUGCCGCGUGUCUGAAGAAGGCUUCGGGUUGUAAAGGACUUUUGUCAGGGAAGCGGUACCUGAAGAAUAAGCACCGGCUAACUACGUGCCAGCAGCCGCGGUAAUUC
rnacentral:rRNA from 1 species